AGAGUUUGAUCCUGGCUCAGGACGAACGCUGGCGGCGCGCCUAACACAUGCAAGUCGAACGGAGCUUAGAGAGCUUGCUUUUUAAGCUUAGUGGCGAACGGGUGAGUAACGCGUGAGUAACCUGCCCUAGAGUGGGGGACAACAGUUGGAAACGACUGCUAAUACCGCAUAAGCCCACGGUACCGCAUGGUACUGAGGGAAAAGGAUUUAUUCGCUUUAGGAUGGACUCGCGUCCAAUUAGCUAGUUGGUGAGGUAACGGCCCACCAAGGCGACGAUUGGUAGCCGGACUGAGAGGUUGAACGGCCACAUUGGGACUGAGACACGGCCCAGACUCCUACGGGAGGCAGCAGUGGGGAAUAUUGCACAAUGGGGGAAACCCUGAUGCAGCGACGCCGCGUGGAGGAAGAAGGUCUUCGGAUUGUAAACUCCUGUUGUUGAGGAAGAUAAUGACGGUACUCAACAAGGAAGUGACGGCUAACUACGUGCCAGCAGCCGCGGUAAAACGUAGGUCACAAGCGUUGUCCGGAAUUACUGGGUGUAAAGGGAGCGCAGGCGGGAAGACAAGUUGGAAGUGAAAUCCAUGGGCUCAACCCAUGAACUGCUUUCAAAACUGUUUUUCUUGAGUAGUGCAGAGGUAGGCGGAAUUCCCGGUGUAGCGGUGGAAUGCGUAGAUAUCGGGAGGAACACCAGUGGCGAAGGCGGCCUACUGGGCACCAACUGACGCUGAGGCUCGAAAGUGUGGGUAGCAAACAGGAUUAGAUACCCUGGUAGUCCACACCGUAAACGAUGAUUACUAGGUGUUGGAGGAUUGACCCCUUCAGUGCCGCAGUUAACACAAUAAGUAAUCCACCUGGGGAGUACGACCGCAAGGUUGAAACUCAAAGGAAU
rnacentral:rRNA from 1 species